ensembl:lncRNA
UGGGCCCACAUUCAAAGCUAAGAAAAGGAAACUUUACCAGCUUUUCUGCAGAUUUUUUUUUUUUGAUUUUUCAAUUUUUUCGAAUUCUAUUUUUUUGGUGAAAGAUUUCUAGUAUCUCAGUGAAUACACAUCCUCAGCCAAUGCCAGCUGCUUGUAAGAGCUUCUAAAGUUUUUUCAAUCAUUCUAUUCUAGUCAUUACAUACAUUUUCUACUUGUCCAUCAUUAAUAUUUCUUUUAUGCAAUUAAAAAAGUACUGUAAAUUGAUAUUUUACUUUCAUUCCACUUGGCCAAACUCCACUGUGGGAGCCUGCAGCUCAUCCAGUGGCCCUGGGUGAGAUGUGAGCCCCAUUCCCUGCAGCUCCUGGGUGGAAGUUGCUGCUGGAGCAGAGCUCUCCCUGACCCCCUGACACCCAGUUUUUACUUAAGGAAACACAGGCCAGGAGGGAUCUGCAGUGACAUCCAACAGGGAUCUGCACCACCGUGCCCAGCAUGAGAGGCUUCAGUGGGGCACCUUUUCUCUGCAAUCUGGCCACAUCCAGAGAUGGAGGAAACACGUUUGGUUGCAAAACCAAAGCACAAGACUGCAUCUCCAAACCUUCAGCACAUACAAGUGGCCUCCUCCCCCUGACGUCUCAUUUCUCAGCUUUAGAUUAAAUUCCAGAUUUCAGCUUCUCAACUUCAAACUCCUGGAGGGACAUGAAGCCCUUGAGCCUUUGCAAGACCUGAGCUACUUGACCACUCAUCUUCAUUUUAUGGUUGUUUAUCUUUCCUACUUUUUCAUGCUCUGGACUGUUAACAAGGCAAGAAAAUGCUUCUCAGGCCACACAAACACUGUCAUAUGAGCUCUCCUGAUGCACAGGCAGCAGUCACCCAUGUGUACACACCAGCUGCAAUUUUGGGGGACGCUGAGCCCAGUAUUCAAAGCCCAUCAGGACAAGCUCAUCCGUGGAAAACAGAGCUGCUUGCAUUCAUAUUUUUCAGCAAUGUAAGCAAAGCCGCUGAUUAAUGUGCAUUUGCAAGGAAAGGCCCAGUAACCACCUCCAAACACCCUUAUGCCAUAAAGGAAAGAGAAGUGACUAUGGGAGAGGUGACAUAUCUGAGGUGGGAAAGAGAAAAAGAAAAUAACAACGAACCAGAAAGUGUCAGGCAGCAGUUUAGAGGAGAGGCUCACACAGGGUUGAACUCCAUUUUAAGGUUCUGAUUUAUCUGAGUUGAGCAUGGCAUCAGUUGAAAUUCAGAAUGAAACUAGGACACAAACUUAAUUGCAAAACCAGCUGAAACCACAGGAUGCAGUCACAGAAAAUUCUCACUCGUUUGAGGCUGGCAUAGGGUUUCACCAAGCUUCAGCAGGAGGUUUUGGGGGCCCCAAAAUAGAUUAAGGGAGUUAAAAUUCAGUUGCUUUCCCAGAUUCAGCCCUGGCCUAGCAGAAGUAGAGAAGGGGAUGAUUAGAGAGUAUCCACACAAGUAGGAGUGAUGGCUGGCUGGCACAUUGCUUGUCCACCUAAGAAGGUGAGAUUUGUAGGGGUUAUGUUGUAACUGUUGGUGUAAACAGAUAUGGUCAUCCUAAAAUGCCUCUGUCCAACACUGUGGCCAUGAGUGACACAGAAAACCAAAGGUCAACAGCUGUUCCUCUUGUAAGAAAAAAGUGAACCAAGAACCUCAGACCUGCGGAGACCGGCCAGCCACAGCGCUCACACCGCU